ACAACAUUCGGACCGUCGGUCUACCGAACAACCCGCCCGGCGAAAGAUCUUCCCUUUGUCGU
rnacentral:pre_miRNA from 1 species